CUGCAUGGUGGCGCAGUUGGUAGCACUGGUGCCUUGCAACAUGAAGGUCCUGGGUUCAAUUCCCUGCAUGGAGU